UACGAAGGGGGCUAGCGUUGCUCGGAAUCACUGGGCGUAAAGGGUGCGUAGGCGGGUCUUUAAGUCAGGGGUGAAAUCCUGGAGCUCAACUCCAGAACUGCCUUUGAUACUGAGGAUCUUGAGUACGGGAGAGGUGAGUGGAACUGCGAGUGUAGAGGUGAAAUUCGUAGAUAUUCGCAAGAACACCGGUGGCGAAGGCGGCGCUCUGGACCGAGACUGACGCUGAGGCGCGAAAGCGUGGGGAGCAAACAGG
rnacentral:rRNA from 1 species